rnacentral:rRNA from 1 species
CCUACGGGAGGCAGCAGUGAGGAAUAUUGGACAAUGGGCGGGAGCCUGAUCCAGCCAUGCCGCGUGCAGGAAGACCGCCCUAUGGGUCGUAAACUGCUUUGGUACGGGAAGAACAAGGGGCACGCGUGCCCCCCUGACGGUACCGUAAGAAUAAGGAUCGGCUAACUCCGUGCCAGCAGCCGCGGUAAUACGGAGGAUCCGAGCGUUAUCCGGGAUUAUUGGGUUUAAAGGGUCCGUAGGCGGCCGUUAAGUCAGGGGGUGAAAGUCUGCGGCUCAACCGUACACUGCCCUUGAUACUGGCGGCCUUGAGUCAUGGUGAAGUGGCUAGAAUAUGUGGUGUAGCGGUGAAAUGCAUAGAUAUCACAUGGAAUACCGAUUGCGAAGGCAGGCCACUAACCAUAUACUGACGCUGAUGGACGAAAGCGUGGGGAGCGAACAGGAUUAGAUACCCUGGUAGUCCACGCCGUAAACGAUGGAAUACUAGCUGUCCGGGCCCUUGAGGCCUGGGCGGCCCAGCGAAAGUGAUAAGUAUCCCACCUGGGGAGUACGUCCGCAAGGAUGAAACUCAAAGGAAUUGACGG